rnacentral:rRNA from 1 species
GAUGAACGCUAGCGGCAGGCUUAACACAUGCAAGUCGAGGGGUAUAGUAGCAAUACUAGAGACCGGCGCACGGGUGCGUAACGCGUAUGCAAUCUACCUUUUGCAGAGGGAUAGCCCAGAGAAAUUUGGAUUAAUACCUCAUAGUAUUAUAGUAUGGCAUCAUAUUAUAAUUAAAGUCACAACGGCAAAAGAUGAGCAUGCGUCCCAUUAGUUAGUUGGUAAGGUAACGGCUUACCAAGACUACGAUGGGUAGGGGUCCUGAGAGGGAGAUCCCCCACACUGGUACUGAGACACGGACCAGACUCCUACGGGAGGCAGCAGUGAGGAAUAUUGGACAAUGGGCGCAAGCCUGAUCCAGCCAUGCCGCGUGCAGGAUGACGGUCCUAUGGAUUGUAAACUGCUUUUUAUACAGGAAGAAACACUGGUUCGUGAACCAGCUUGACGGUACUGUAAGAAUAAGGAUCGGCUAACUCCGUGCCAGCAGCCG